CUCUCCUCUAUUAGUGCUUUAUAUUACCUCUAUUGUAUAGCUUGCAUUCUCAUACUUAAAAUCAUAUAUUCACUCAGACACACACACACUUCUUUAUCCUAUAAUUGGAGCUAAAGUAAUCUAAUUAUACUAUCAGACUUAAGUAGAUGUAUUUUCUAGCAAUUAUACUUUGAAAGUUCAAUUAUAAUUGUAUGAAAUAUUCAUUCCAAUUUUCAUCAAAUAUUGGCAAAGUCCUCUCAUCUGAAUGAUGCUCUUAUUCUAAAGAGGAAAGGCAGCCAGGGAACUGCCCUGUAAGAGGGUAGGUGCUCUGUCUCUGAACAUCUCUGUGGCUUGUGGAGUUGGGCUAGAUGAGCACUGGAAUUAAAUCAACAGAAAUGGUCAUGUAGAUUCUCCUUAACUUAGCCUUUGGACAUGUAUUAACCCCUUUUACAACCGAUAAAACAAAAAAAAGAGUUUUUUUUUUUUAAUUUUUAAAAUUAUAUGAAGUUUGCUUUCAGUUUCUUUUUAUUUGUAUUAAAGAUUUUUUAUUUUUUUCCAUUUUCUCCCCAAAGACCCCCAGUACAUAGUUGUAUAUUCUUCGUUGUGGGUUUUUCUAGUUGUGGCAUGUGGGACGCCGCCUCAGCGUGGGUUGAUAAGCAGUACCAUGUCCGCGCCCAGGAUUCGAACCAACGAAACACUGGGCCGCCUGCAGUGGAGCGCGCAAACUUAACCACUUGGCCACGGGGCCAACCCCUUCAGUUUCUUUUUUAUACAAAAAAAAGAAUUUUUAAGUAGGUUAGUCCGGAUUUCUACAUGCGAAUAUUUUAUAAUGUUUACAAACUUCAUAAAAUACUACAUAUAUGUCCUUUUCCUGUGUUAUUUCUUCUCCUUCUUCAUUUAUAAAAAGUAAAAACGAUUCUUAGUGCCUUGAAUGAAGUGAAGCAGCACUGAAUAUUUGCCACUAUGGCCCGUCCUUUCUCCCUCAGUGGAGGUAAUAAAAGAAGUCAGAUCACGUUCCAGAUUUUAAGGAUUCUCCAGUAGCUGUCACAGAGUUUGGCUGUGAAAAGCACUCACGGGUCUUGAAUAGUUAGACAUUUGGGACAAUAAAGAGAAACAUCUUAAGCAGAAGGCUGUAGGUAAUAUUUGAAUAUUGUUUAACAUUGUCUCAGGUAGAAAAUAAAAGGGAUAGCAAAAUAACGACUUUAAAGGUCUCUUCAUGACAAGAAGCUUUUAUCUCAUUUCUAAAAAAAUAAUCCAUUUAGACUUAACUCCAGAAAGACACUUUUUAUUAUGUUUCCCAAGGUUUUAAAACACUAUCUCCGGGGGUUCUUAUGAAUAUGUCAUGAGAUAAUAUAAGAGAAAACAUCUAACUUAUGCUUGACCCAUGGAAGGCACUCCAAUAUUAGUUUUUGUCUGUCAAGAUAACUACUAAGUACAUUUCUUUUUGUACAUUCAGAGAAUAUUUUUUAUGGUUUAUUUACUUUAAAAUAUAUGUCAUCGUUUUAUUCCAUAGUCAGAAAGCACCUUAAAACUAUGGUUUGAGCCAAUCAUUUUAUUAAAAAAAAACGUAAAGUUGUAAAGCCAUGAAAUCUAAGUAAAUAAUUAGAGGAACUAUGACUUAGCACAGUCCAGUUUUCUCUAAUUUUCAGCCUGUGUUCUUUCAAUCAGUUCCUAGCCUAGUCUCUUUACCUUGAUUUAUCAACUCCAUGACAGCAGGCACUCUGUCUGUGUCUGGACCUUCCAAAGGACAUCCCAGGGUGGAAAUUGGGGCAUCAUGCCAGUUUGUAAAGAAAAGAGAAUUUCUGUCCUAACAUUGUGAAAUUACAUUAUUAUUGGGAAAUCUGGGUAUUCCUCCUUAUGUUUCUUUAGUAAAUAUAAGUGUCUCUGUAAUGAAUACAACCAGAAUUAUUCUUAUAAUACUCUUUUAUAAACCAUAAACAAAUGUACUAAGGCAAAUAGAUUAAAGUUUUUAUUAGCCCCUGCUUGAUCCUCAUAUAUAAUCUGCCUUUGUUUCUUUUAAGCCCUCAGCAUGUGGGCUGCCCUGUUAGUUUCCUUGUAAUAGAAAAUAUUUCAUUAAAAUCAUCAUAAUCAAGAAAAAAGGAAUUCAACCUACUCACCUAUAUUAACACCUGUAUAACCAUCAUUUUAUACCCAUUGAACAUUAAAAAUUUUGACUUAAACCACUUUACAUUUUUUCUAGUAAACAGCAAUACUCACCUUGCUUUAAAUAUUUAAAACAAGUCCAAAUUAUUUAGUGAGUUUGCAAGUUCUUUGAGGUUCAAGGGUUUCAUAAAAUUCUUCUGACGGCUCCACUGGUUGAAAUAAAGUUAUUUUCUAAAUAUUCAGCUAUUAGAAAAUGAUGGGGAUUUCCAAAGAAAUAGGUGCCAAUAUUCUGAUUCAAACUGGUGGGUAAAAUAGCUUCUGCUUUGAAAACCAUGCCUAAGUGAUUAGGGGAAAAAAUGGUAUUUUGUAUUCUUGGCUCUCUGUGAUCCUCUUGAGUGAACAUAUGGAACUGAAUAUGGGAUUAAAUCAAAUACUGAAUGCACUAACUCGCCUCUACCUCAGUUUUUCUCUUUAAAUUUAUUUUGUUUUCUUCUAACUCAUAUCGAAUCUCUCCAUAUGUUGGUUCCCAUUUAGAAUUGCAACAAUUUUCCCUAGAUUGCUUUUAUGUUACAUUAAAAACCCUGGGGUAAAUGUCAUUAACUGUAGUUUCAGCCAUUACUCUUGGCCCAUCAUUAUGCAACUGACAUUCCAUAGAAUUUUCUCUGUAUGUGUAAUUCUAAGCAAUUUGAUUCUCAACUUGGAAAACUUUUCAGAAUCCUUUAAGUGUAAUGAUUUAUCUUAAGCAAUAUCACCAAGAAGGGAAAAUUUGAAGUAGUAAUAGUUGAAGAUCAAGCCUAAAAUUAAUUUUCCUACUUUUGUCUUUAAAAA
rnacentral:lncRNA from 1 species